AGAUAAAGUAAAGAAUCUUAAGAGCUGUGUGACAGAAGCACCAGGUAACCUAUAAAGGAGAAUCUAUCAGAUUAACAGCAGGUAUCUCAGCAGAAACCCUACAAGCUAGAAGGGAUUGGGGACCUAUCUUCAGCCAAAACAGUUAUCAGCCAAGAACCACUGACAGCACUAGACAGGCCAUCAAGACAGAAAGUCAACGAAGAAACAAUGGAU
rnacentral:lncRNA from 1 species